ensembl:lncRNA novel transcript, antisense to ZNF420
AGACGCUCAGGGCCUGCGAGAGCGAGCUGAGUGGUCCCAGGGUCUACCCCUGGCAGGAGAGAGGGUGGGACCCGCCGGCCAGGCAGGAGGUGACAGACACAUUCUGGUUUCAAAUUGAACAGCAUGCAUUGAUCUUGAGCCGCAUCUGUGUGAUUCUGGGUCACUACUUUUGGCUUUUGAAUAGUUACGAUGAGUGCUUGCAAGAAAAAGGAAGCUAUCACUUAAAAGUAAAAAACAGUUGUUCACCUGAGAUGAAUAGAUUCCAUGUGGAUGGGCUUCUUGUAUAUUAAACUUAUGACAUUUUA